AGAGUUUGAUCAUGGCUCAGGGUUAACGCUGGCGGCGUGCCUAACACAUGCAAGUCGAACGGUUCUAAGCGCGAGCUUAGGAUAGUGGCGAACGGGUGAGUAAAAGGUAGGAAUCUACCCCUUGGACGGAGAUAGCUACUGGAAACGGUAGGUAAACUUCGAUAAGCCCGAGAGGGGAAAGUGGUGAGACAGCCGAGGGAUGAGCCUACUCUCCAUCAGGUAGUUGGUGAGAUAAAAGCUUACCAAGCCGAUGACGGAUAACCGGUGUGAGAGCAUGAACGGUCACAAGGGCACUGAGAGACGGGCCCUACUCCUACGGGAGGCAGCAGUGGGGAAUCUUGGACAAUGGGCGAAAGCCUGAUCCAGCGACGCCGCGUGGAGGAAGAAGUCCUUCGGGAUGUAAACUUCUGAACUAGCCGAAUAAAAGGCCUGUGGACACACAGGAGAAGAAAGUAGGCUAGGAAAAGUCCCGGCUAACUACGUGCCAGCAGCCGCGGUAAGACGUAGGGGGCAAGCGUUACCCGGAAUUACUGGGCGUAAAGGGGGCGUAGGCGGUAAAAGAAGUCAUCUGUGAAAACCUAUUGCUCAACGAUAGGCUAGCGGAUGAAACUGAAUUACUUGAGGGCACCAGAGGUAGACGGAAUUACCCGAGUAGGGGUGAAAUCCGCAGAUACGGGUAGGAACGCCGGUGGAGAAGUCGGUCUACUGGGGUGCACCAGACGCUGAGGCCCGAAAGCUAGGGGAGCAAACCGGAUUAGAUACCCGGGUAGUCCUAGCCGUAAACGAUGCUCACUAGGUGUAGGGAGUGAUAAACUCUCUGUGCUGAAGCGAACGCGCUAAGUGAGCCGCCUGGGGAGUACGUCCGCAAGGAUGAAACUUAAAGGAAUUGACGG
rnacentral:rRNA from 1 species